rnacentral:tRNA from 3 species
GGAAGGGUGCCAGAGCGGCCGAAUGGGACGGUCUCGAAAACCGUUGUGGGUGUAUGCCUACCGUGGGUUCAAAUCCCACCCCUUCCGCCA